rnacentral:tRNA from 1 species
UCCUGGGUGGCUCAGUUGGUUGAGCAUCUGACUUCAGCUCAGGACAUGACCCCACGGUUCGUGGGUUCAAGCCCCGCAUCAGGCU